GACAGAUCGAGCGAGACGGCGCUGCUCUUCGCAACGGAUUCCAUCGUAAGCUUUGAGCUUGGUCGGCGAGAGCAAUCGUUGCCAAAGUAUUUCCCGCACAUCGGUGGAGCUUUGGAGGCAAAGUCGAGGCCAUGGCGCUUGAAAAUAUCUCUGGCAGCUCUCUCGGAGCUGAUUAUGACUGUGGGCACGCUGCCGAGCUUCAAGAGCAUCACAUCGCCAUAUCUCUUGGAGAGUUUGUGAAGUGAGAUGUGAGGGAGCGAGCCGAGCUUGCAAUGACUGGCAAGUUGAGUGGUCCUGGAGGGAGAUUUCCUGGAGGAUUUCUUCUUCUAGUAGAAGAGAACCAGAGAGCUGCAGCAAGCAGCACUAAGGCACUCAAAAUUGGGUGGGAGAGAAGAUCCAUGAAUGGAAGGACACAGAGUAGUACACUAAAUGGGAAUGGGGAUGAGGUCUUGCUUUCAAAACACACUUGCUUGACCUUGUCUCACAGUAACAAUCUGGAGGGAGCGAGAGGGAU